rnacentral:lncRNA from 1 species
CUCCUAUUACCGGUUUCCCAUUUACAGCCACACAAACCAUUGUUGUGACAUACUGCCGAAGAUCCUCUGUGUACUCUUGUGUAGCAUCUAAUGGAUCAAUCCAGACAGUAACACUUUCUGCUGGAACCUCUUUAGGCUGUAUUUUUUCUUUUAUGUCUUCAGGAAUACUGCGAUCCCAAGAGACUGUCUCCUGAUCAGCUGCAUCAACACGUUCCUCAGAGUUUAUCUGCACGGUGGGGAAGGCGGCCCUCAGCAGGUGGAACAUGCGGCGGUUGGACAGCAGGUCGCCGCUCGUCAGCUUCUCCUCGGCCCCUCCCGCGUCUUCCCCUUGGCCUUCUCGUUGAGCACGUUGCCCUCGCGGACCCGCCGCACCUCCUUGCCGCCCCGCACGGCCGCCAGCACGGACACGGCCAGCAGCUCCCGCAGGUCCACGGAGGCCGCCGAACCGCGGGGUCCCUCGGGCCCGCCCGCCGCCGGCUCGCUCAGCAUGAAGAAGGCGAAGCGGCCGGCCAGGAAGCCGGAGUAGAGGUGGUAGAGGACGCCCAGCCCCAGCAGGCAGAACACGGCCAUGCCGAGCGGCGAGAGGCGGAUCCCCAUAGGCGCCAUGGCCGGGCGCAGCGGGGCGGUGCCGGGCACUCACUGCAACCCCAUGGCUCGGCUCGCUCCGCCACGGCAGAGCCGGCCGGCUUCAGCUCCCAGCGGGCCGGGGCGGAGCGGAGCCCGUCUGUAUCCGGGUCAGGCGAAGGCGGGGCGCCGCCGUGCGCACUGAGCAUGUCCCGGUGGCCGGCCGGAGCUGGGGUUUUGCUGUGGGUUCGCAUGUGGGGGUCGGGAAGGACGGGUGGGAUGUGUGGCGCAGGUGUGCUCAUACCGACUUGUGUUUCUUUGAAGCGUUAAACUUUUGGAAUCAUAGAAUCAUCUUGGUUGGGAAAGACCAAAGAGUUCGUCCAGUCCAGCCAUCAGCCCAACACCACCACGUCCAGUAACCAUGUCCUUCAGUGCCACAUCUACACGUUUCUUGAGCACCUCCAGGGGCGGUGACUCCACCACUCCUCUGGGCAGCCUGUGCCACUGCCUCACCACCUGUUCUGUGAAGAAACAUUUCCUAAUGUCUGACCCGAAUCAACAGUCUGAAAGCUUCACCCCACUGUAAGAUUACCCUUGCAAAUUCAAGGUGCUGUAUCAUCUCCUCCUUGACUCUUCCAUUUCAACAGUACCUUCAAUUACAUGGUUGCAUACCAUGUGUUGCACCGUAUCUAAAGUGUCUCUGUGCAGGGGCUGCAAACCAAAGAAAGAGCAUUGCAUUUGAAAUGGGGUUCAAAAGAGCUAGAUUUUACUCUUAGCGAUGCUGAUAUUUAACUUUCUAGGCUACUAGGCAACAACUGGAGUGUCCACAUUUUCCUAUUUUCCUUUCCCUUCAAGACUUUUUUUUUCCUGUGCAGUUAGUUCUCUAGCAGAACAGCUUGAAAGGGUGUCCUGUUCAUUUGUCCUUCUUUGAAUUCACGAUUCAGCAUUUCAUACAGGAAUAUUGAAUGCCAAUAUCUACAGCAACAGUGAGUAUUAGAGAAGAGUAAACUUGUGUAUGCAUUGAACAUGAGACCAACACAGGUGGGCGUGUACAUAGGUUGCUUCAAAAGUAAUGCCUCCUAUUUCCAUGGAAAAUACAACAGUUACAAAGAGCACAAUGACAUUUUUGAUAGAGCAGAUUCUCAGCUACAUAACGCUAUUUUUCUACAUAGGCACCACCAUUAACUAUGCACUUUUACUGGCAAUGAACAAGAUCCUGCAGGCC